rnacentral:rRNA from 1 species
UACGUAGGCAGCAAGCGUUGUUCGGAGUUACUGGGCGUAAAGGGUGUGUAGGCGGCUCUCUAAGUUUGGUGUGAAAUCUCCCGGCUCAACUGGGAGGGUGCGCCGAAUACUGAAGGGCUAGAGUGCGGGAGAGGAGAGUGGAAUUCCUGGUGUAGCGGUGAAAUGCGUAGAUAUCAGGAGGAACACCGGUGGUGUAGACGGCUCUCUGGACCGUAACUGACGCUGAAACACGAAAGCGUGGGUAGCAAACAGG